rnacentral:rRNA from 1 species
AUUGAACGCUGGCGGCAUGCUUUACACAUGCAAGUCGAACGGUAACAGGCCGCAAGGUGCUGACGAGUGGCGAACGGGUGAGUAAUGCAUCGGAACGUGCCCAGUCGUGGGGGAUAACGCAGCGAAAGCUGCGCUAAUACCGCAUACGAUCUAUGGAUGAAAGCGGGGGACCGUAAGGCCUCGCGCGAUUGGAGCGGCCGAUGUCAGAUUAGGUAGUUGGUGGGGUAAAGGCUCACCAAGCCAACGAUCUGUAGCUGGUCUGAGAGGACGACCAGCCACACUGGGACUGAGACACGGCCCAGACUCCUACGGGAGGCAGCAGUGGGGAAUUUUGGACAAUGGGCGCAAGCCUGAUCCAGCAAUGCCGCGUGCAGGAAGAAGGCCUUCGGGUUGUAAACUGCUUUUGUACGGAACGAAACGGUCCUGGUUAAUACCCGGGGCUAAUGACGGUGCCGUAAGAAUAAGCACCGGCUAACUACGUGCCAGCCGCCGCAGUAAGAC